rnacentral:rRNA from 1 species
CGGGUGAGUAACGCGUAAACAACCUGCCCUUCGGAUGGGGACAACAGCUGGAAACGGCUGCUAAUACCGAAUACGUUCUUUUCAUCGCAUGGUGAGAAGAAGAAAGGACGGCCUCUACACAAAGCGGUCGCCGAAGGAGGGGUUUGCGUCUGAUUAGCUAGUUGGAGGGGUAACGGCCCAACAAGGCGACGAUCAGUAGCCGGUCUGAGAGGAUGAACGGCCACAUUGGGACUGAGACACGGCCCAGACUCCUACGGGAGGCAGCAGCA